rnacentral:rRNA from 1 species
UACGAAGGGGGCUAGCGUUGCUCGGAAUUACUGGGCGUAAAGGGCGCGUAGGCGGAUAGUCUAGUCAGAGGUGAAAGCCCAGGGCUCAACCUUGGAAUUGCCUUUGAUACUGGCUAUCUUGAGUACGGAAGAGGUAUGUGGAACUCCGAGUGUAGAGGUGAAAUGCGUAGAUAUCCGGAAGAACACCAAAGGCGAAGGCAGUGUCCUGGGUGGUACCUGACGCUGAGGUGCGAAAGCUAGGGGAGCGAACGGG